UAGGGAAUCUUCCACAAUGGACGCAAGUCUGAUGGAGCAACGCCGCGUGAGUGAAGAAGGUUUUCGGACCGUAAAGCUCUGUUGUUGGUGAAGAAGGAUAGAGGUAGUAACUGGCCUUUAUUUGACGGUAAUCAACCAGAAAGUCACGGCUAACUACGUGCCAGCAGCCGCGGUAAUACGUAGGCGGCAAGCGUUGUCCGGAUUUAUUGGGCGUAAAGCGAGCGCAGGCGGAAGAAUAAGUCUGAUGUGAAAGCCCUCGGCUUAACCGAGGAAUUGCAUCGGAAACUGUUUUCUUGAGUGCAGAAGAGGAGAGUAGAACUCCAUGUGUAGCGGUGGAAUGCGUAGAUAUAUGGAAGAAUACCAGUGGCGAAGGCGGCUCUCUGGUCUGCAACUGACGCUGAGGCUCGAAAGCAUGGGUAGCGAACAGGAUUAGAUACCCUGGUAGUCCAUGCCGUAAACGAUGAGUGCUAAGUGUUGGGAGGCUUCCGCCUCUCAGUGCUGCAGCUAACGCAUUAAGCACUCCGCCUGGGGGAGUACGACCGCAAGGUUGAA
rnacentral:rRNA from 1 species